rnacentral:rRNA from 4 species
GUUAUAUGGUCAAGCGAAUAAGCGCACACGGUGGAUGCCUUGGCGGUCAGAGGCGAUGAAGGACGUGGCAGCCUGCGAAAAGUAUCGGGGAGCUGGCAACAAGCUUUGAUCCGGUAAUGUCCGAAUGGGGAAACCCACCCGCUUGCGGGUAUCCUGCAGUGAAUACAUAGCUGCUGGAAGCGAACCUGGUGAACUGAAAUAUCUAAGUAACCAGAGGAAAAGAAAUCAACCGAGAUUCCGUAAGUAGCGACGAGCGAACGCGGACUAGCCCUUAAGCUGAUUUGGUUCUAGGAAAACGCUCUGGAAAGAGCGGCCAUAGAAGGUGAUAGCCCUGUAUCUGAAAGGGCCAUUCCAGUGAAGACGAGUAGGGCGGGGCACGUGAAACCCUGUCUGAACAUGGGGGGACCAUCCUCCAAGGCUAAAUACUACUGACCGACCGAUAGUGAACCAGUACCGUGAGGGAAAGGCGAAAAGAACCCCGGAGAGGGGAGUGAAAUAGAACCUGAAACCGUGUGCGUACAAGCAGUAGGAGCUCCGCAAGGAGUGACUGCGUACCUUUUGUAUAAUGGGUCAGCGACUUACUGUUCGUGGCAAGCUUAACCGUAUAGGGGAGGCGAAGGGAAACCGAGUCUGAUAAGGGCGCAUAGUCGCGGGCAGUAGACCCGAAACCGGGUGAUCUAGUCAUGCCCAGGGUGAAGGUGCGGUAACACGCACUGGAGGCCCGAACCCACUCCCGUUGCAAAGGUAGGGGAUGAGGUGUGAUUAGGAGUGAAAAGCUAAUCGAACCCGGAGAUAGCUGGUUCUCCUCGAAAGCUAUUUAGGUAGCGCCUCAUAUGUAUCCUCUCGGGGGUAGAGCACUGUUAUGGCUAGGGGGUCAUCGCGACUUACCAAACCAUUGCAAACUCCGAAUACCGAGACGGACUGUAUGGGAGACACACGGCGGGUGCUAACGUCCGUCGUGAAAAGGGAAACAACCCAGACCCACAGCUAAGGUCCCAAAUUUUGUGCUAAGUGGAAAACCAUGUGGAAAGGCACAGACAGCCAGGAGGUUGGCUUAGAAGCAGCCACCCUUUAAAGAAAGCGUAAUAGCUCACUGGUCGAGUCGGUCUGCGGGGAAGAUUUAACGGGGCUAAGCACAGAACCGAAGCUUGGGGUGCAUAACUUUGUUAUGCGCGGUAGAGGAGCGUUCCGUAAGCCGUUGAAGGUGGAUUGAGAAGUCUGCUGGAGGUAUCGGAAGUGCGAAUGCUGACAUGAGUAACGAUAAUGCGGGUGAAAAACCCGCACGCCGAAAGCCCAAGGUUUCCUUGCGCAACGUUAAUCGGCGCAGGGUGAGUCGGCCCCUAAGGCGAGGACGAAAGUCGUAGUCGAUGGGAAGCAGGUUAAUAUUCCUGCACCUCGCGUAAGUGCGAUGGAGGGACGGAGAAGGUUAGGUGUACCAGGCGUUGGUUGUCCUGGGGAAAGGCGGUAGGUUUGGAUCUUUGGCAAAUCCGGGAUCCUCUAAGACCGAGCACCGAGACGAGCCUUUAUGGCGAAGUCACUGAUACCACGCUUCCAGGAAAAGCUCCUAAGCUUCAGCUUACGCAGACCGUACCGUAAACCGACACAGGUGGGUAGGAUGAGAAUUCUCAGGCGCUUGAGAGAACUCGGGUGAAGGAACUAGGCAACAUGGCACCGUAACUUCGGGAGAAGGUGCACCCUUUUUGGUGGCUCGUGCGAGCUAUAGCUGAAGAGGGUCGCAGUAACCAGGCCGCUGCGACUGUUUAUCAAAAACACAGCACUCUGCAAACACGAAAGUGGACGUAUAGGGUGUGACGCCUGCCCGGUGCUGGAAGGUUAAUUGAUGGGGUCAGCCGCAAGGCGAAGCUCUUGAUCGAAGCCCC